AUUGAAGGCUGGCGGCAUGCCUUACACAUGCAAGUCGAACGGUAACAGAUCUUCGGAUGCUGACGAGUGGCGAACGGGUGAGUAAUACAUCGGAACGUGCCUAGUAGUGGGGGAUAACUACUCGAAAGAGUGGCUAAUACCGCAUGAGAUCUACGGAUGAAAGCAGGGGAUCGCAAGACCUUGUGCUACUAGAGCGGCCGAUGGCAGAUUAGGUAGUUGGUGGGAUAAAAGCUUACCAAGCCGACGAUCUGUAGCUGGUCUGAGAGGACGAUCAGCCACACUGGGACUGAGGCACGGCCCAGACUCCUACGGGAGGCAGCAGUGGGGAAUUUUGGACAAUGGGCGCAAGCCUGAUCCAGCGAUGCCGCGUGCAGGAUGAAGGCCUUCGGGUUGUAAACUGCUUUUGUACGGAACGAAAAGCCCUGGGUUAAUACCCUGGGGUCAUGACGGUACCGUAAGAAUAAGCACCGGCUAACUACGUGCCAGCAGCCGCAGUAACAC
rnacentral:rRNA from 1 species